CCCCCCGUAGCUCAGUUGGUAGAGCGGUCGGCUGUAGACCGACAUGUUCCCGGGUCAACCGGAUACGGGCAUUUUUAGGUUUAGGUCAACACCAAGCCUACGGUCCCCGGUUCGAGUCCGGGCGGGGGGA
rnacentral:tRNA from 1 species